rnacentral:rRNA from 1 species
CUCGUAGGCGGCCAACUAAGUCCGACGUGAAAUCCCAAAGCUUAACUUUGGAACUGCGUCGGAUACUGGAUGGCUUGAAUCCGGGAGAGGGAUGCAGAAUUCCAGGUGUAGCGGUGAAAUGCGUAGAUAUCGGGAGGAACGCCAGUGGCGAAGGCGGCUUCCUGGCCGGAUACUGACGCUCAAGUGCGAAAGCUGGGGGAGCGAACG